rnacentral:ribozyme from 1 species
GUAACACUACUUCACGGACAUAGGCAUGCAUCCGACGCUUCUCGAAGUUUAACAUAGGCUCUCCAUACUCCGUCACAAUACGUUCAAAGCGCACAUAACGGUAACAUGUCUCUCUAAAUAUCUAGGCUUGGGGUAUAAGAGGACCUUAGGAGGAUAUGAGAUAUGUCUAAAUUGAGCGGA